AUUGACCGCUGGCGACAGGCCUAACACAUGCAAGUCGAGUGAGCGGCGGACGGGUGAGUAAUGUAUGGGGACUGCCCGAUAGAGGGGGAUAACUACUGGAAACGGUGGCUAAUACCGCAUACUAUCGGAUAACCCAUAUGGGAUUAGCUAGUAGGUGGGGUAAAGGCUCACCUAGGCGACGAUCACUAGCUGGUCUGAGAGGAUGAUGGACGACACUAGAAAUGCAAGCCGGCCCAGACUCCUACGGAGGCAGCAGUGGCGAAUCUGGGGAUAAGGGCGAAAGGCUGAUACAGCGGUGGCGCGUAUAGGAAGAGAGCCUUAGGGUUGUAAAGUACUUACAGCGGGGGGGCGUUACCCGCAGAAGAAGCACCGGCUAACUCCGCGCCAGCAGCCGCGGUAAUAC
rnacentral:rRNA from 1 species